rnacentral:rRNA from 1 species
GCCGGCGGCAGGCCUAACACAUGCAAGUCGAACGGUAACAGGAAGCAGCUUGCUGCUUCGCUGACGAGUGGCGGACGGGUGAGUAAUGUCUGGGAAGCUGCCUGAUGGAGGGGGAUAACUACUGGAAACGGUAGCUAAUACCGCAUAAUGUCGCAAGACCAAAGAGGGGGACCUUCGGGCCUCUUGCCAUCGGAUGUGCCCAGAUGGGAUUAGCUUGUUGGUGGGGUAACGGCUCACCAAGGCGACGAUCCCUAGCUGGUCUGAGAGGAUGACCAGCCACACUGGAACUGAGACACGGUCCAGACUCCUACGGGAGGCAGCAGUGGGGAAUAUUGCACAAUGGGCGCAAGCCUGAUGCAGCCAUGCCGCGUGUAUGAAGAAGGCCUCGGGUUGUAAAGUACUUUCAGCGGGGAGGAAGGGAGUAAAGUUAAUACCUUUGCUCAUUGACGUUACCCGCAGAAGAAGCACCGGCUAACUCCGUGCCAGCAGCCGCGGUAAUACGGAGGGUGCAAGCGUUAAUCGGAAUUACUGGGCGUAAAGCGCACGCAGGCGGUUUGUUAAGUCAGAUGUGAAAUCCCCGGGCUCAACCUGGGAACUGCAUCUGAUACUGGCAAGCUUGAGUCUCGUAGAGGGGGGUAGAAUUCCAGGUGUAGCGGUGAAAUGCAUAGAGAUCUGGAGGAAUACCGGUGGCGAAGGCGGCCCCCUGGACGAAGACUGACGCUCAGGUGCGAAAGCGUGGGGAGCAAACAGGAUUAGAUACCCUGGUAGUCCACGCCGUAAACGAUGUCGACUUGGAGGUUGUGCCCUUGAGGCGUGGCUUCCGGAGCUAACGCGUUAAGUCGACCGCCUGGGGAGUACGGCCGCAAGGUUAAAACUCAAAUGAAUUGACGGGGGCCCGCACAAGCGGUGGAGCAUGUGGUUUAAUUCGAUGCAACGCGAAGAACCUUACCUGGUCUUGACAUCCACGGAAGUUUUCAGAGAUGAGAAUGUGCCUUCGGGAACCGUGAGACAGGUGCUGCAUGGCUGUCGUCAGCUCGUGUUGUGAAAUGUCGGGUUAAGUCCCGCAACGAGCGCAACCCUUAUCCUUUGUUGCCAGCGGUCCGGCCGGGAACUCAAAGGAGACUGCCAGUGAUAAACUGGAGGAAGGUGGGGAUGACGUCAAGUCAUCAUGGCCCUUACGACCAGGGCUACACACGUGCUACAAUGGCGCAUACAAAGAGAAGUGACCUCGCGAGAGCAAGCGGACCUCAUAAAGUGCGUCGUAGUCCGGAUUGGAGUCUGCAACUCGACUCCAUGAAGUCGGAAUCGCUAGUAAUCGUGGAUCAGAAUGCCACGGUGAAUACGUUCCCGGGCCUUGUACACACCGCCCGUCACACCAUGGGAGUGGGUUGCAAAAGAAGUAGGUAGCUUAACCUUCGGGAGGGCGCUUACCACUUUGUGAUUCAUGACUGGGGUG